rnacentral:rRNA from 1 species
UACGUAGGGUGCAAGCGUUGUCCGGAAUUAUUGGGCGUAAAGAGCUCGUAGGCGGUUUGUCGCGUCUGCUGUGAAAUCCCGAGGCUCAACCUCGGGUCUGCAGUGGGUACGGGCAGGCUUGAGUUCGGUAGGGGAGACUGGAAUUCCUGGUGUAGCGGUGAAAUGCGCAGAUAUCAGGAGGAACACCAAUAGCGAAGGCAGCUCGCUGGGACGUUACUGACACUAAGGCGCGAAAGCGUGGGGAGCGAACAGG